rnacentral:rRNA from 1 species
GUGUCAGCCGCCGCGGUAAGACGUAGGGGGCAAGCGUUGUCCGGAUUUAUUGGGCGUAAAGAGCUCGUAGGCGGCUCAGAAAGUCGGGUGUGAAACCUCCAGGCUCAACCUGGAGACGCCACCUGAUACUGCUGUGGCUAGAGUCCGGUAGGGGAGCACGGAAUUCCCGGUGUAGCGGUGAAAUGCUUAGAUAUCGGGAGGAACACCAGUGGCGAAGGCGGUGCUCUGGGCCGGAACUGACGCUGAGGAGCGAAAGCGUGGGUAGCAAACAGGAUUAGAUACCCCCGUAGUCC